rnacentral:tRNA from 1 species
GGCCUUGUAGUGAAAUUCACGGUGAGUUGCAAACUCACUAAUGUACAUUAGAUGUGUGCCGGGGUCU